ACUAUCCUACGGGGGGCAGCAGUGGGGAAUAUUGCACAAUGGGGGAAACCCUGAUGCAGCGACGCCGCGUGAGCGAUGAAGUAUUUAGGUAUGUAAAGCUCUAUCAGCAGGGAAGAAGAUGACGGUAUCUGACUAAGAAGCCACGGCUAACUACGUGCCAGCAGCCGCGGUAAUACGUAGGGGGCAAGCGUUAUCCGGAUUUACUGGGUGUAAAGGGAGCGUAGACGGCGAUGCAAGCCAGAUGUGAAAGCCCGGGGCUCAACACGGGGACUGCAUUUGGAACUGUGUGGAUGGAGUGUCGGAGG
rnacentral:rRNA from 1 species